CAGACAAACCCAGACAACCCUUCCUACUUCCCCGUCAUCUCCUUCGCUUCUCCUGUCUGAAACCCUCGCCCCAGACCACAAAUGGAAACCAUGCCAAUUCUUUCACCCAAACACCAAAUCAAACCUACGCUUGAAGCAAAGUUGACUAAAAUUCACCGAGAUUCGUUCAUUUCUACCGAUUAAAACCACUACACAGAUGAAUCCAAGGCUUCGACAACAAACAGUUCGCGGUAGAAAUAGAGUACGUCUUCAAUCGUAGAUUAUGAAAGAUACCACCCCUCAGAUAAAUUGACAGGAUAUGUAUUUGCAAAAAACGCACAAGGAUUUCGAAUCCAAAAAGAAAAACACAACAACGAAAGGAAGAUAAGCAUUUGACUGUAAUUUUAGAUUUAUUUACCUAAAUAGUCAAAUCUGUGCCGUUACUAUGUCAGUGUAUGUAAUAUUUAGCUUUUGGAGAUGAGCAAAUUUAUAUGUCAUGAAAUUUGUAAGUGAAUAUGGAGCAAUAUUUGUUUCUCAAUGUUAUAGAAUCCCAUUUUAUUACCAUAUUAAAGCAUUGAUUAGCCUCUGUAAAUAAUUACUACUUGUUAGACUUAUGCUAGGUAGCAAUUCCCUUUUAUUGGGAAAGAAACAAAUUUCUGAUAUUUUAAUUGUUGUUCUGUAACUUGAACUCAAGUAUUCUGUAACUUGACUAAAAUGCUAGCAUACCUUAGUAUAUAUCUGAAGUUGCUGUUUAUAUCAAUUCUAUUAAAAAAAUGUUAUUAAUGAUCAUGAGACAUUUCAUAAUUCUGAGUGAUUUGGAGUGGAUCCAUACCUGUGACAUUAACAGUCUGAUCCAUUUCUGCGAUCUUCAUUUUCGUGGGUCACCAGAGAUUGUAUUCUCUUUAAUGUAAACUGAACCUUCUAAAGCAGCUUUUGCUUUGGUGGUCCUUUCUUGUUCCAAA